CAGGGCUCUACCUUAGAGACCUGGCCAGGGAUCUGUUUGUGGAGGAGCAGCCAAGACAAUACAAUGAGCCUGCAGAUGUCCAGUUCAGACUUAUGAACUCGUGACUUUCCCCACAAACCAAGGACACGUGACUUUCCCACAAGCCAGGGAAUACACGCAGCCCCAAAGUUGGAAAAGGCAAGGGUCACAUUCUCCCCUCCAGCCUUGAGAAGGACUCAGGCUCCUAGUUCUUCGUUUUUUUUUUUUUUGUUUUUUUUUUUUUUUUUCGGUCUUUAAAAUUCAUAUUAAGGCUUCCUACUUCUAACCCCGUGGAUGAUAAAUCGGCAAAGUCUGAGGUAGACACUUGUCUGAGUCGUCAUCUCCUGCAUCCUCAACGCCCCACUGGGCUUGUCACAGGCACCACUGAAUGGACAUAGUUCCCGUGGCUCCCUGUGAUCCUCAGAGGUUACAGGCCAUCACUGAGAAGAUGUCAACAUAGGGAUUCAAGCGGCUGGUCACGUCACAUCCACAGUCAAGAGCAGAGGGCGCCAAUGGGGCCAUCUUGCCUGCUGCAGCUUUCGCUCAGCUAGCUUUCUCCAUUCUUAAGACACUGGAGUUUUACUUACAGCAGGUUCCAUCAGCCAAUGGAUCCCACCAUCAAACCCACCAUGCUCUCUGGAGACGCCUGGAGGAAAGACCUAGGACUUCAGCUUCAACAAUUCCAGACAAGGAAUAUUUCAGAAACAGCCCAUCAGGCCGUGUGUGAUCUGGAGUGGUUUUGUUUGGAGAGGAGAAAGGAUGUGCUCGAAGACAAUAGCAUGCCAAUGGACACCUGGCUCUGAGUCAGAGCCACAAAUCUGUCAGUCCAUGGUUCUCCGAAGAGAAGACCUAACAUGGCAGCUGUGUGAAGUUGUGAGCUUGUGAUUG
rnacentral:lncRNA from 1 species